CAGCAGCCGCGGUAAUACCGGCGGCCCGAGUGGCGGCCACUAUUAUUGGGCCUAAAGCGUCCGUAGCCGGGCUGGUAAGUCCCCCGGGAAAUCUGGCGGCUUAACCGUCAGAAUUCCGGGGGAUACUGCCAGCCUAGGGACCGGGAGAGGCCGGGGGUAUUCCCGGGGUAGGGGUGAAAUCCUGUAAUCCCGGGAGGACCACCUGUGGCGAAGGCGCCCGGCUGGAACGGGUCCGACGGUGAGGGACGAAGGCCAGGGGAGCGAACCGGAUUAGAUACCCGGGUAGUCCUGGCUGUAAACGAUGCGGACUUUGUGUCGGACAAGCUAUGAGCUUGUCCGGUGCCGGAGGGAAACCGUUAAGUCCGCCGCCUGGGGAGUACGGCCGCAAGGCUGAAACUUAAAGGAAUUGGCGGG
rnacentral:rRNA from 1 species